rnacentral:rRNA from 1 species
UUAGUAGCGGCGAGUGAAGCGGCAAAAGCUCAAAUUUGAAAUCUGGCACUUUCAGUGUCCGAGUUGUAAUUUGAAGAAGGUAUCUUUGGGUCUGGCUCUUGUCUAUGUUUCUUGGAACAGAACGUCACAGAGGGUGAGAAUCCCGUGCGAUGAGAUGUCCCAGACCUAUGUAAAGUUCCUUCGAAGAGUCGAGUUGUUUGGGAAUGCAGCUCUAAGUGGGUGGUAAAUUCCAUCUAAAGCUAAAUAUUGGCGAGAGACCGAUAGCGAACAAGUACAGUGAUGGAAAGAUGAAAAGAACUUUGAAAAGAGAGUGAAAAAGUACGUGAAAUUGUUGAAAGGGAAGGGCUUGAGAUCAGACUUGGUAUUUUGUAUGUUACUCUCUCGGGGGUGGCCUCUACAGUUUACCGGGCCAGCAUCAGUUUGGGCGGUAGGACAAUUGCAAAGAAAUGUGGCACUGCCUCGGUAGUGUGUUAUAGUCUUUGUCGAUACUGCCAGCCUAGACUGAGGACUGCGGCUUCGGCCUAGGAUGUUGGCAUAAUGAUCUUAAGUCGC